UACGAAGGGUGCAAGCGUUGUCCGGAAUUAUUGGGCGUAAAGAGCUUGUAGGCGGUUUGUCGCGUCUGCUGUGAAAACUCGAGGCUCAACCUCGGGCUUGCAGUGGGUACGGGCAGACUAGAGUGCGGUAGGGGUGACUGGAAUUCCUGGUGUAGCGGUGGAAUGCGCAGAUAUCAGGAGGAACACCGAUGGCGAAGGCAGGUCACUGGGCCGCAACUGACGCUGAGGAGCGAAAGCAUGGGGAGCGAACAGG
rnacentral:rRNA from 1 species